rnacentral:rRNA from 1 species
AUUGCACGCUGGCGGCAGGCCUAACACAUGCAAGUCGAGCGAGCGGCGGACGGGUGAGUAAUGUCUGGGAAUCUGCCUGAUGGAGGGGGAUAACUACUGGAAACGGUAGCUAAUACCGCAUACCAUCAGAUGUGCCCAGAUGGGAUUAGCUAGUAGGUGGGGUAAUGGCUUACCUAGGCGACGAUCCCUAGCUGGUCUGAGAGGAUGACCAGCCACACUGGGACUGAGACACGGCCCAGACUCAUACGUGAGGCAGCAGUGGGGAAUAUUGCACAAUGGGCGCAAGCCUGAUGCAGCCAUGCCGCGUGUAUGAAGAAGGCCUUCGGGUUGUAAAGCACUUUCAGCGGGGAGGCGUUACUCGCAGAAGAAGCACCGGCUAACUCCGUGCCAGCAGCCGCGGUAAUAC